rnacentral:tRNA from 1 species
AGUUAUAACUUAAAAUAAUAAGCUUAUGUUUUGAAAUCAUAAUUUUAAGGGUUUAAAUCCCUUUAUAACUU